UACGUAGGGUCCGAGCGUUGUCCGGAAUUACUGGGCGUAAAGAGCUCGUAGGCGGCUUGUCGCGUCGGCUGUGAAAACCUGGGGCUCAACCCCGGGCCUGCAGACGAUACGGGCAAGCUAGAAUUCGGUAGGGGAGACUGGAAUUCCCGGUGUAGCGGUGAAAUGCGUAGAGAUCGGGAAGAACACCAAUGGCGAAAGCACUCUGCUGGGCCGAAACUGACACUCAGAGACGAAAGCUAGGGGGAGCGAAUGGG
rnacentral:rRNA from 1 species